rnacentral:rRNA from 1 species
UACGUAGGGCGCGGAGCGUGUCCGGAUUUAUUGGGCGUAAAGAGCUCGUAGGCGGUUUGUCGCGUCUGCCGUGAAAGUCCGGGGCUCAACUCCGGAUCUGCGGUGGGUACGGGCAGACUAGAGUGAUGUAGGGGAGACUGGAAUUCCUGGUGUAGCGGUGAAAUGCGCAGAUAUCAGGAGGAACACCGAUGGCGAAGGCAGGUCUCUGGGCAUUAACUGACGCUGAGGAGCGAAAGCAUGGGGAGCGAACAGG